rnacentral:rRNA from 1 species
UUCGGAUUGUAGUCUGCAACCCGACUACAUGAAGCUGGAAUCGCUAGUAAUCGCGGAUCAGAAUGCCGCGGUGAAUACGUUCCCGGGUCUUGUACACACCGCCCGUCACACCAUGGGAGUCGGAAAUGCCCGAAGUCUGUGACCCAACCGUAAGGAGGGAGCAGCCGAAGGCAGGUCGGAUGACUGGGGUGAAGUCGUAACAAGGUACC